rnacentral:ncRNA from 2 species
UCUUUGUGUACACGUUUAGGUUUUUCCUUUCGGAAAAUGAAAAGGGAAUCCGGUGCGAAUCCGGAGCUUUCCCCGAAACUGUAACUUUCAAAAAGGCUUUUAUGCAGAUGCCACUGUCCCGAUAUGGAUGGGAAGGCCAUAAAAGCGGAAGGAGCCAGGAGACCUGCCUGUUCGUGCCACCCUAA